rnacentral:lncRNA from 1 species
AAGCAAGCGUGUAUGUGAACUACCGGAAUUAUGUCGUAGACACGUCGUCGCAAAAACAUCUUCUGAAAUAUUUAAUUUUGGAAUGGUGUUUCUUCUAAGAAGAAAAUAUACAUAUAGUAUAGCGACACUCCAUUUCACGAAUUGUUGUUGCAAAGUGACCAAUACCAAGUUCACCAGGACGGAACCCAAACCUUGUUACAUGCUGGAGCUGUGGAGCUGACCCGAGUCUAUUAAACCAGUUGUCUCAGGUCAAAUCUACCGAUCCAUCAAUAAGUGCGAAGUCGAUGUACAAUUAUUGUCAGCGGAACACGAUGUGUAUUAAAUUGCCGGAACACAAGAUGAUAUCAAUAGCCGGAUAUAUGUGGUCUUAAUUCUACAAAUAAUCGCGCGCGGAUAUUUAUUAGGAUUUACGUCACUGGAUCGACGGAAUUGAAUCAAAUUUGCCAAAUGUGUUUCUUAUACAACGAACAAGUAAUUCUCAACAAUAUUACAUACUUAAAUAUAAUUAGGCCUAAGCAUUAUAUUAUACCUAUAUAUAUAUUAUAUUAUAUUAUAUUAUAUAAAACUAGAAUCUUUUAUUCAAUUUACAUUACGUUCAUAUAGUUUUGAUGUAACAUUUCCGAGUAAGAAAUAAAAGUAAAC